GUCUCAGUAGCAUAGUGGUUAAUGUACAGCCUCGGAAAGGUUGAGACGCGGGUUCGAUUUCGUCUGAGAUG
rnacentral:tRNA from 1 species